rnacentral:rRNA from 1 species
UAGGGAAUCUUCGGCAAUGGACGAAAGUCUGACCGAGCAACGCCGCGUGAGUGAAGAAGGAUUUCGGAUCGUAAAACUCUGUUGUUAGAGAAGAACAAGGACGUUAGUAACUGAACGUCCCCUGACGGUAUCUAACCAGAAAGCCACGGCUAACUACGUGCCAGCAGCCGCGGUAAUACGAAGGUGGCAAGCGUUGUCCGGAUUUAUUGGGCGUAAAGCGAGCGCAGGCGGUUUCUUAAGUCUGAUGUGAAAGCCCCCGGCUCAACCGGGGAGGGUCAUUGGAAACUGGGAGACUUGAGUGCAGAAGAGGAGGGUGGAAUUCCAUGUGUAGCGGUGAGAUGCGUAGAUAUAUGGAGGAACACCAGUGGCGAAGGCGGCUCUCUGGUCUGUAACUGACGCUGAGGCUCGAAAGCGUGGGGAGCAAACAGG